CUGGUCGAUGAAGCGGAGGUUGUCGCGGAAGAUCUCGAAGCGCCGCUCGUCCUCGUCGAGCGCGUUGUAGGACCGGCUGUGCCGCGCCUUCCAGGCCUGGUAGAGGCGGCGCACCUCCUCCUCGCUCCUCUCCCCGUAGCUGAGGAUGGACAUGCCCGAGUCGCCGGCGGCAGUGGCGGCGGAGGCCAGGGCCAGGAGGUAGAGGAGGAGGAGGGCGGAGACCGCGGCGGUCGCGGUAGAGGUAUUGGGACCCAUGGUCGCUGGGAUUUGGAUCGUAGAGGGGAAGAAUGGGGAGGUAAAGAUGGGAGGCAAGGAGCCUUCUUCUUCUUCUUCCGUGCAGG
rnacentral:lncRNA from 1 species